UACAGAGGUCCCGAGCGUUGUUCGGAUUCACUGGGCGUAAAGGGUGCGUAGGUGGUGAGGUAAGUCGGAUGUGAAAUCUCCGGGCUCAACCCGGAAAUGGCAUUGGAAACUACCUUGCUAGAGGGUUUGAGGGGGGACUGGAAUACUUGGUGUAGCAGUGAAAUGCGUAGAUAUCAAGUGGAACACCAGUGGCGAAGGCGAGUCCCUGGAAAAUACCUGACACUGAGGCACGAAAGCUAGGGGAGCAAACAGG
rnacentral:rRNA from 1 species